rnacentral:rRNA from 1 species
UACGUAGGGGGCAAGCGUUGUCCGGAAUUAUUGGGCGUAAAGGGCGCGUAGGCGGCCCUGCAAGUUGGAUGUGAAAUCCCCGUGCUUAACAUGGGAAUUGCAUGCAAAACUGUGGGACUUGAGUGUGGAAGAGGUAAGUGGAAUUCCCAGUGUAGAGGUGAAAUGCGUACAUAUUGGGAGGAACACCGGUGGCGAAGGCGACUUACUGGGCCACAACUGACGCUGAUGCACGAAAGCGUGGGGAGCAAACAGGAUUAGAUACCCUGGUAGUCCACGCCGUAAACGAUGGAUACUAGGUGUAGGAGGUAACACCCCUCCUGUGCCGCAGCUAACGCAUUAAGUAUCCCGCCUGGGGAGUACGGUCGCAAGAUUGAAACUCAAAGGAAUUGACGGGGGCCCGCACAAGCAGCGGAGCAUGUGGUUUAUUUCGAAGCAACGCGAAGAACCUUCCCAAGGGUUGACAUCCCCUGACCGCCAUGGAAACAUGGCUUCCCUUCGGGGCAGGGAGACAGGUGGUGCAUGGUUGUCGUCACCUCGUGUCGUGAGAUGUUGGGUUAAGUCCCGCAACGAGCGCACCCCUUACAUUUAGUUGCCAGCGGGUAAUGCCGGGAACUCUAGGUGGACUGCCGGGGUCAACUCGGAGGAAGGUGGGGACGACGUCAAAUCAUCAUGCCCCUUAUGUCUUGGGCUACACACGUGCUACAAUGGCUUCUACAAAGGGAUGCGAUUCCGCGAGGUGGAGCGAAACCCAUAAAACUAGUCCCAGUUCGGAUUGUGGGCUGCAACUCGCCCACAUGAAGUCGGAGUUGCUAGUAAUCGCGGAUCAGCAUGCCGCGGUGAAUGCGUUCCCGGGCCU